AGAGUUUGAUCCUGGCUCAGGACGAACGCUGGCGGCGUGCCUAACACAUGCAAGUCGAACGAAGCUUUGAGGAGCUUGCUUUUUAAAGCUUAGUGGCUAUAAGGGAUAAAUCCCCCGCCUCGCCCCUGCGUUCCUUAAGCUCUGCGUCCAGGCGGGCCACGGCGGCUGCCUCUCAGAGGGGGAUAACGUUUUGAAAAGAACGCUAAUACCGCAUAACAUAUCGGAACCGCAUGAUUCUGAUAUCAAAGGAGCAAUCCGCUGAGAGAUGGGCUCGCGUCCGAUUAGUUAGUUGGUGAGGUAACGGCUCACCAAGACUACGAUCGGUAGCCGGACUGAGAGGUUGAUCGGCCACAUUGGGACUGAGACACGGCCCAGACUCCUACGGGAGGCAGCAGUGGGGGAUAUUGCGCAAUGGGGGAAACCCUGACGCAGCAACGCCGCGUGAAGGAAGAAGGUCUUCGGAUUGUAAACUUCUUUUGUCAGGGACGAAGAAAGUGACGGUACCUGACGAAUAAGCUCCGGCUAACUACGUGCCAGCAGCCGCGGUAAUACGUAGGGAGCGAGCGUUGUCCGGAUUUACUGGGUGUAAAGGGUGCGUAGGCGGCCGAGCAAGUCAGUUGUGAAAACUAUGGGCUUAACCCAUAACGUGCAAUUGAAACUGUCCGGCUUGAGUGAAGUAGAGGUAGGCGGAAUUCCCGGUGUAGCGGUGAAAUGCGUAGAGAUCGGGAGGAACACCAGUGGCGAAGGCGGCCUACUGGGCUUUAACUGACGCUGAGGCACGAAAGCAUGGGUAGCAAACAGGAUUAGAUACCCUGGUAGUCCAUGCCGUAAACGAUGAUUACUAGGUGUGGGGGGACUGACCCCUUCCGUGCCGCAGUUAACACAAUAAGUAAUCCACCUGGGGAGUACGGCCGCAAGGUUGAAACUCAAAGGAAUUGACGGGGGCCCGCACAAGCAGUGGAGUAUGUGGUUUAAUUCGAAGCAACGCGAAGAACCUUACCAGGUCUUGACAUCCUGAGAAUCCUUAAGAGAUUAGGGAGUGCCUUCGGGAACUCAGAGACAGGUGGUGCAUGGUUGUCGUCAGCUCGUGUCGUGAGAUGUUGGGUUAAGUCCCGCAACGAGCGCAACCCU
rnacentral:rRNA from 1 species